CUUAGCCCUUUAGACUGGGAUAACAGAGGGAAACUUACUGAUAAAUACUGGAUAAGUUAGUAUAUCGCAUGAUAUGCAAAUGAAAAGCUACGGCACUAAAGGAGAGCUUUGCGUCCUAUUAGCUAGUUGGUAAGGUAAGAGCUUACCAAGGCGAUGAUAGGUAGCCGGCCUGAGAGGGUGGACGGCCACAAGGGGACUGAGAUACGGCCCUUACUCCUACGGGAGGCAGCAGUA
rnacentral:rRNA from 1 species